CUGGCAAGUCCAUGAAAAUCACCCACCGAGAGUCAUGGGCAGUUUUCCCUGGAGCUUCCUGGCAAAAGCAGUGACAAAUGUCUAAUUGUGCCUCCCUGUGAAACAAGGACCUGUGUGCCAGAGAAAACAUUUUGUCAAGGUGCUCAGGAAUGCAAAAGAGAUUUCUUGGACAUGCCUGUUAAUAUAAUGACAAGGCAGAGCAGAGUGUGGAACACACAUCCAUCAAAUCAACCAACAGAUUACAGCUGCAGAAAUUCUGGGGAGCCUUGUAGGGACUCCCGGGAGGACAGAUCAGGCAGCUGCAAGUCAUGGACCUGGAGACGAAGAGCAAUGCUUCUCUGCACUGGAGGUGGGAAGUCCAAAACAGGUCUCAUGGAGCAAAAUCAAGGUGCCAGCAGGGCUUCAAUCAUUUUUGAAGGCUGCAGGGAAGAAUCAUUCCUGGCUUUUUCCAGCCAUCAGAGGUCACCUCCAUUCCUAGAUUCAUGAUCCCCUUCCAUCUUCAAAGCCAGCAAUGGCCCAGCGAGUCCUUACAUGGAAUCACUCCAACAUUGACUCCUCUUCUGCCUCCCUCUUUCACCUUUUAAGGACUCUCAUGAUUACAUGGGCCCACCCUGGAAGAGUCUGUGACACGACUGAGUGACUGAGCACCCUGAUAAUUCAGCAUGAACUCUCGAUUUUACGGGCUUUGAUUAGCAACUUUAAUCCCAUCUGCAAUCUUAAUUCCCCCUUUCUACAUAACCUAACAUCACAAAUUCUUGAGAUUAGAGGGUGGACAUCUUAAGGGGUGGGCAGAGUUAUUCCCCCUGCCACACCUGGAAGACCCCAUUUACUUCCCCAAUAUGCUGGGUGGGGGAAGGCAGGGAAUAGGCUAUGGGAAUAAACGGGCUUACCAUCAAAAGCUUAUCUUUGGGGCCACUAGAAGAAUCCCCUGUCUCCCCAGUCUUGGCCUUGAGGUCCGGCCUCCCAGGCUUACUACUCACUCGUGUCUGAAUCCUGACUCACCCCUAAAUCUCCCCAGCUUGACCAACCUCCCAGCCAUCCUGACUCACCCCACUUAGCACCAAACUGUACAAAUG
ensembl:lncRNA